rnacentral:tRNA from 1 species
GGGGUCGUCGUCUAGCCUGGUUAGGAUGAUAGCUUUGGGAGUUAUCGACCUCGGUUCAAAUCCGAGCGACCUCA